AACGAACGCUGGCGGCAUGCCUAACACAUGCAAGUCGAACGAUCCCUUCGGGCAUAGUGUCGCACGGGUUCGUAACGCGUGGGAAUCUUCCUUUCUGUUCGGCAUAACUCAGGGAAACUUGUGCUAAUACCGGAUCACGUCUCAUGACCAAAGAUUUAUCACCGAACGAUGAUCCCGCGUAGGAUUAGCUAGUUAGUAAGGUAAUGGCUCACCACGGCGACGAUCCUUAGCUGGUCAGUGAGGAUGAUCAGCCACACUGAGACUGAGACGCGGCCCAGAAUCCUACGGGAUGCAGCAGUGGGGAAUAGUGGAAAGUGGGCGGAAGGAUGAAGGAGCAAGGACGGGAGAGCGAUGAAGGUAUGAGGGAUGUAAAGCGCAAGUACCCGGGAAGAUAAUGACGGUACCGGAAGAAUAAGCCCCGGCUAACUCCGUG
rnacentral:rRNA from 1 species